ACAACGAAAAGAAUAGCUAAUGAAAAACCAGAAUCAUCAAGCUCAUCAAAAAGAACAAGUUAUGAAACAAAUUCAAUAAGAAAUUUAAAUCAAUAUUACAUAACAGGAAAAAUAAAUGAAAAAGAAUAUCUAAUACUUUUGAAUACAGGACAAGAAGAAAAUUAUAUAGCAAAAUAUCUAGUAAAAAAUGAAGAAAUAAAGACUGAUAAUGAUAUGUG
rnacentral:lncRNA from 1 species